rnacentral:tRNA from 1 species
GGCCGUUUAGCUCAGUGGACAGAGCGUCUCCGUCCUAAGGAGAGCGUCGGGGGUUCGAUUCCUCUAACGGCCACCA